GACGAACGCUGGCGGCGUGCUUAACACAUGCAAGUCGAACGGAAAGGCGCUGCGUUUGUGGGGUGCUCGAGUGGCGCAGGGGUGAGUAACACGUGAGUAAACUGUCCUUGACUGUCGGAUAACAUCAGGAAAAUGGGUCUAAUACCGGAUAGAAGCUCCUGCUGCACGGUGGGGGAUGGAAAGAUUGGGCGGUUGUGUAUCGACUAGCGGCUUAUCAGCUUGUUGGUGGGGUAGUGGCUUACCAGGGCUUUGACGGAUAGCCGGCCUUGGAGGGUGGCCGGCCACAUUGGGACUGCGAGACGCACCAGACUCCUACGUGCGGCAGCAGUCGGGAACAUUGCACAAUGGCGCCACGCCUGUUGCAGCAACCCCGCGUGCGGGAUGCCGGCUUUCUGGUUGUAAACCGCUUUCGACUGUGACGAAGCGUGAGUGACGGUAAUGAGUAAAGAAGCACCGGCUAACUACGUG
rnacentral:rRNA from 1 species